rnacentral:rRNA from 1 species
GAUGAACGCUGGCGGCGUGCCUAAUACAUGCAAGUCGAGCGAACAGACGAGGAGCUUGCUCCUCUGACGUUAGCGGCGGACGGGUGAGUAACACGUGGAUAACCUACCUAUAAGACUGGGAUAACUUCGGGAAACCGGAGCUAAUACCGGAUAAUAUAUUGAACCGCAUGGUUCAAUAGUGAAAGACGGUUUUGCUGACACUUAUAGAUGGAUCCGCGCCGCCUUAGCUAGUUGGUAAGGUAACGGCUUACCAAGGCAAAGAUGCGUAGCCGACCUGAGAGGGUGAACGGCCACACUGGAACUGAGACACGGUCCAGACUCCUACGGGAGGCAGCAGUAGGGAAUCUUCCGCAAUGGGCGAAAGCUUGACGGAGCAACGCCGCGUGAGUGAUGAAGGUCUUCGGAUCGUAAAACUCUGUUAUUAGGGAAGAACAAAUGUGUAAGUAACUAUGCACGUCUUGACGGUACCUAAUCAGAAAGCCACGGCUAACUACGUG